GGGAGGAAGAACUCCAUUACAGACUGUGCUAAGAAGAGAUAGACUGCAUCCUCCAUUGUCCCAUGUGGCAGCAUCGCUGGCUGACCUGAGCCUACCUGUGAGGAGGAUGUACUACAGCAAGGAAACUGCUCCGGGAACUGGUCUGUAGAUAUGGAGUUCCAGGGGUAAUUGAGAGGGAUAGAGGAAACCCAUUUUACAGGGCAACAGAAGGAUUAGUGGCGGGACUGAGCAGCCUGAAAAAUAUUCUCUUUCACACAAAUUUGCCUUUUUCACUUCAGCAGUCUGUUCCCUGGGACCCACGACGUGGAGGCCAUCCAGGAGGCCUGGCGCCUUAUGAACUGUUUUAAGGACGCAGUUUGGCUUGCCAGGAACAGCCUUGUGAUCAACAGGGAGAACAUGACCGUCCGGGACUGCCGCAGGUUUAUCAGGAGCCUGCUCAGAGACUUCUCUCCUUCCCCCAUGUCCCCCUGAAGAUAAAGCCCAGUAGUUUGGCCCUGUGAUGCGCCCCUCCCUACCCCCACACAGUCACCCACUCCCCCACGCCCCCAGCCCCAUUCUAUAGCCCACACCCCUACCCCGAUCACAGAUUGUAUUGUCCUGUUUUUCGAUUUCUUUUGCUUUUCUAUUACAGGAUUGAGCAGAGUGUUAGAGUAGCAAGAUGUGCGAUGUAUAGCUUAGGGAACCUUUGCUGUGUAUUGUACUGUUAUGCUUUGUGUGAUUGUAAUUUAUCGUAUGACUUGUAAUGACUGAACGAACAAUAAAGCUCUUUCAAUAAUGGAA